GCGGGUGUAGCUCAAUGGUAGAGUUCUGGCCUUCAAGCCAGCUGUGAGGGUUCGAUCCCUUCACCCGCUCCA
rnacentral:tRNA from 1 species